AUUGAACGCUGGCGGCGUGCUUUACACAUGCAAGUCGAACGGUAACAGGUCUUUCGGGAUGCUGACGAGUGGCGAACGGGUGAGUAAUGUAUCGGAACGUGCCCAGUAGUGGGGGAUAACUACUCGAAAGAGUGGCUAAUACCGCAUGAGAUCUCUGGAUGAAAGCGGGGGACCGUAAGGCCUCGCGCUACUGGAGCGGCCGAUAUCAGAUUAGGUUGUUGGUGAGGUAAAGGCUCACCAAGCCGACGAUCUGUAGCUGGUCUGAGAGGACGACCAGCCACACUGGGACUGAGACACGGCCCAGACUCCUACGGGAGGCAGCAGUGGGGAAUUUUGGACAAUGGGCGCAAGCCUGAUCCAGCAAUGCCGCGUGCAGGACGAAGGCCUUCGGUUGUAAACUGCUUUGUACGGAACGAAAGACCUUCUUCUAAUACAGGGGGUCGAUGACGGUACCGUAAGAAUAAGCACCGGCUAACUACGUGCCAGCAGCCGCGGUAAA
rnacentral:rRNA from 1 species